rnacentral:rRNA from 1 species
AACGUAGGUGGCGAGCGUUAUCCGGAUUUACUGGGCGUAAAGGGUGUGCAGGCGGGCGACCAAGUGGUGUAUGAAAUCUCCCAGCUAAACUGGGAUAGGUUAUGCCAGACUGGUGGUCUAGAGUGCGAGAGAGGGGCGUGGAAUUCCGGGUGUAGAGGUGAAAUUCGUAGAUAUUCGCAAGAACACCAGUGGCGAAGGCGGACUCACUGACCCGAUACGUGACGCUGAGGUGCGAAAGCGUGGGAGCAAACAGG